AGUGCAAAAGAAGAAAAGUUACCAAAAUCGGCUAUAAUUAAAUAAUACAAGCUAUAAUCACUUUUGCAAUUAAAACGGCCAGUUCAAUAAUACUAUUCAAUGUGCACCUUUCCAUGUAUGAUUGACGGUUUUAAACUCGUAAUCAUAGCGGCGUAAUGAUAACGGCGUAAUAAUUUUGCGUAAGUCCCAAAGACAGACCGAAAAAAGCUAAGACUUGUUCAUUAAUUUUUUACCGUGAUUUUAAAAAAAACCCGCACGGUCGAAAUCUCAUCAAAGUACAAAGUAAACGAAUUUUUCUCGGCAACCUUUCCCGUACACUUUACCGAGUUUUCUAGGGCAUUGUAAAAAUCGUUUCGUACGUAAAUAUAUAGGUAUUAAUUUUUCAA